GGGUCAGUAGGUUGGUCGUGCCACCGGUACGUACUGGUCUCACCGAUUCCUCCUUCCUGAAGAACCGUAAUGCCAUUAAUUCGGUGUUGCGGGGAAACAGGACUGUUACUUUGAAAAAAUUAGAGUGUUUAAAGCAAGCUAACGCUUGAAUACAUUAGCAUGGAAUAAUGAAAUAGGACGAUCGAUCCUAUUUUGUUGGUUUCUAGGAUUGACGUA
rnacentral:rRNA from 1 species